GAAACUUCUGGAAUAACUCUAUCUUUAGAUGCAAUUAUAGAAAAAGAAUCAGUGAUAUGUGGUUGCUGCUACUAUAUGACUGCUGUGAUUGUUGAAGACGACACUGCACCUAUAUAAGUAGUAUUAUUUUAAUUCAGGUCCGAUCUCGGUGGUGUUCGAGAAUGAUGCCUCUGCCACGUGUUGUUGGUUAACAUAUCAACCGAAUAUAAGGAUGGCACAGUCGUGUUAUAUUGAUCACUUCCCAAUGUGGUGAGUGCUGACAUGUCUUUCCAUUAUAUGUAAUUUGUAACUUGUGAAGAGGCUAGCGGGAUGUUGGCACGGGCCCAGUGUCUUAGUUUGCAUUAGCUAAAGCUGCAAAAACUUUAUACGUAAACAUAAAAAAUGUUGCUAGUUCGGGCCCAACAAUUUAUGUUAGAGUGCAUGUCUUGUCUUGUUUCAACUUUAUUUGAUCCAAUUUUUUAAGUUUGUUUGAGGAAAUUAUCUCUUGCAAAUUCAAAAGUAACUUAACUUAAUUUUUUGUUUUACUCUUGACAACAAGUUUUAUUGUGAAAAAGUUAUCACAUAUUCAAUAGCACAAGUUUGAAAAGCCUGUAGCCACAUAUGUUGUCUUGUAAUUACAAUCCCACUUGUGAAAUUACACUCGAUAUACUGUUGUUGUAUUAUAUUUAUGAUCACAAAUUUCAGUUUUUUUUC